rnacentral:rRNA from 1 species
GAGUUUUGGAACCUGGCUCAGAUUGAACGCUGGCGGCAGGCCUAACACAUGCAAGUCGAACGGUAACGGGAAGAAGCUUGCUUCUUUGCCGACGAGUGGCGGACGGGUGAGUAAUGUCUGGGGAUCUGCCCGAUGGAGGGGGAUAACCACUGGAAACGGUGGCUAAUACCGCAUAACGUCGCAAGACCAAAGUGGGGGACCUUCGGGCCUCACACCAUCGGAUGAACCCAGAUGGGAUUAGCUAGUAGGUGGGGUAACGGCUCACCUAGGCGACGAUCCCUAGCUGGUCUGAGAGGAUGACCAGCCACACUGGAACUGAGACACGGUCCAGACUCCUACGGGAGGCAGCAGUGGGGAAUAUUGCACAAUGGGCGCAAGCCUGAUGCAGCCAUGCCGCGUGUAUGAAGAAGGCCUUCGGGUUGUAAAGUACUUUCAGCGGGGAGGAAGGGAUGAAGGUUAAUAACCUUCGUCAUUGACGUUACCCGCAGAAGAAGCACCGGCUAACUCCGUGCCAGCAGCCGCGGUAAUACGGAGGGUGCAAGCGUUAAUCGGAAUUACUGGGCGUAAAGCGCACGCAGGCGGUCUGUUAAGUCAGAUGUGAAAUCCCCGGGCUCAACCCGGGAACUGCAUUUGAAACUGGCAGGCUUGAGUCUCGUAGAGGGGGGUAGAAUUCCAGGUGUAGCGGUGAAAUGCGUAGAGAUCUGGAGGAAUACCGGUGGCGAAGGCGGCCCCCUGGACGAAGACUGACGCUCAGGUGCGAAAGCGUGGGGAGCAAACAGGAUUAGAUACCCUGGUAGUCCACGCCGUAAACGAUGUCGACUUGGAGGUUGUGCCCUUGAGGCGUGGCUUCCGGAGCUAACGCGUUAAGUCGACCGCCUGGGGAGUACGGCCGCAAGGUUAAAACUCAAAUGAAUUGACGGGGGCCCGCACAAGCGGUGGAGCAUGUGGUUUAAUUCGAUGCAACGCGAAGAACCUUACCUGGUCUUGACAUCCACGGAAGACUGCAGAGAUGCGGUUGUGCCUUCGGGAACCGUGAGACAGGUGCUGCAUGGCUGUCGUCAGCUCGUGUUGUGAAAUGUUGGGUUAAGUCCCGCAACGAGCGCAACCCUUAUCCUUUGUUGCCAGCGCGUAAUGGCGGGAACUCAAAGGAGACUGCCGGUGAUAAACCGGAGGAAGGUGGGGAUGACGUCAAGUCAUCAUGGCCCUUACGACCAGGGCUACACACGUGCUACAAUGGCGCAUACAAAGAGAAGCGACCUCGCGAGAGCAAGCGGACCUCAUAAAGUGCGUCGUAGUCCGGAUCGGAGUCUGCAACUCGACUCCGUGAAGUCGGAAUCGCUAGUAAUCGUGGAUCAGAAUGCCACGGUGAAUACGUUCCCGGGCCUUGUACACACCGCCCGUCACACCAUGGGAGUGGGUUGCAAAAGAAGUAGGUAGCUUAACCUCCGGGAGGGCGCUACCACUU